GCUUCGAGAGCCUGGAGAGGGACGAAGAGAGAGGAGCUUAGAGAGAAGAAAGACGAGCUGCGCGGAUGCUCAUUGGCGCGCCGGCCGUUCGCGGCGCGCGAAACGCGCAUGCGCUAAGGCAUUAGCGCGCGCUGUAGAAGGAAAGACGCACGCUACAGCAACUUCGGCCGUCCCGGCGCCGCGGCUUUGGAGCGAAGUGGAAAUCGUACAAGUGCACACAAAGAAGAACGGUUGGUCGUCUUGUAAGUGCAGAUCGCGGCGCGGCGGCGGAAGCGGGGGUUGCAGCGCCAUUGGGGAAGUCGAGGUGGUUCCCGUUUCGGCUGCCUCAACUAUGUUUCUCUUCUCCGCCCGUCACCGCAGGAACUCUGGACGUUCUCACUUUGGUGUGCUCGCAUGCCACGGACUGUGCGCGAUGCAUUCGCAGCCAUGUCUCAUUGUAAGACAGGUUGAUUUGAUUUGAGGUCACACCGCUUUCUCCCUGCAUAAUCGCAGCAGGUGAUGACAUCUGGAUGCCUGAAGAGUACCUAUUGCUUGUUGAUGGCCAUGUUGUGGCAGCAGCAAAGAUGUUCAAGCAAGCAUUCUGCAUGCUGUUUGCAGCUUACUUCUGCUUCCACAUUUGUUAUGCAGAGAAGGCGUCAUGCACACUUGAAUUCACACAAAGGGCAUUUUCGGCAUAAACCCAGACCGUGGACGGAAGGGCAAAAAGGAAAUCUGGCGGUCAGCAAGAAAGUUCUUGCCUUGGUGCAGCGCAUUACUGAGUGUGAAUGGAAUGUCUAGCAUGAACUUGUUGACCACACGCAGGGAUACUUUUUCGUCUGCCAAGCAGCCCAGAACCUUGCAAUGCGAACUACAGAAAUGGUUCCCUUUCACCAAGUCAUCUACACAAGAAAUUAUUUUAAAGCUACGUGAACUGCAAUAAAGUGUUUUGAAAUA